AGGGAAUCUUCCGCAAUGGACGAAAGUCUGACGGAGCAACGCCGCGUGAGUGAUGAAGGUUUUCGGAUCGUAAAGCUCUGUUGCCAGGGAAGAACGUCUUCUGGAGUAACUGCCAGGAGGGUGACGGUACCUGAGAAGAAAGCCCCGGCUAACUACGUGCCAGCAGCCGCGGUAAUACGUAGGGGGCAAGCGUUGUCCGGAAUUAUUGGGCGUAAAGCGCGCGCAGGCGGCUGUUUAAGUCUGGUGUUUAAUCCUGGGGCUCAACCCCGGGUCGCACUGGAAACUGGAUGGCUUGAGUGCAGAAGAGGAGAGUGGAAUUCCACGUGUAGCGGUGAAAUGCGUAGAGAUGUGGAGGAACACCAGUGGCGAAGGCGACUCUCUGGGCUGCAACUGACGCUGAGGCGCGAAAGCGUGGGGAGCAAAC
rnacentral:rRNA from 1 species